AUGACUCUUGGCUCUCUCUCCAGACAGUGUGUGUGUGGUUACCCAGAGGUACUGUGGAUCCUGGAGAAGAGUAACAAGUGCCCAAGCCACUUGAUCGAAGAUCAAAAGUUCACGGACGGCCACGGUCACUGCAAAACUUCACAGAUGGGCGACCAUUGAGAAUGUUUGCUAACACGUGAGUCUCAGUUUAUUAAGCCCUAUGCUGAGGCAUUCUCUGUGGAGGGAAAAACCCAUUAAAAAGUUUAUGCACCUAAAAAAAAAAUAUGCGUCAACGAAAGCUGAAUUAUGGCUGCUGGAUGAAUCUCCCACAUAAGGAACGCUUGGAACAGAAUUACGGAUUAUAUCAUCUGUGAUUUGUCUGGGCCCAAAUAGGCUGAAACACACAAUAAUCUUGAGCUGGAACAACCUCUGUAUCCUCCAGGCUCUCUCCCGCCUCCAAGACAGGGACUUCGGACAGGGUGCCCUCAACACUUACGAAGGACAACAGAAGCAGACAGCUGGUUGAUUCUGUGAUGCUGGAAGUACGAGAGCUGUCCCCAGACAGCGGGCUCCUUGUUUUAAACUCAAUUCAGCCAACAUUUUGGAGCACUUUCUAUAUGCCCGACACUCUGUCCGGGGCAGUGGGGGAUUCAAACAUGAGCGGGACACAACACACACCGAGUCUUUAAGGCCCCUGGGAGAAGCCCAUCUGCUGUCAGAGCUCUGAAGAGAACGUCUUCCCUCUGGUGAAGGUGUGGGGAGCUCUUCACAGACAGGGGCGUGCAGGAUGCGGGUACUCUUCCCAUGCACGGCGAAAGCCUGAGGGCCAGUGUCCUUCCCGGGUCCUGGUGGAGAGACUCGCCUUGCCCCUCAUUUCUGGCCAGGAGCCCGCUUCCAAAGUAGGCAGCUGGCGUGUGCAGGCUCCUUCCCUACACUGGGAGAACACUUGGGGCACCCGCCACAGACUGGGCAUGUGUGGAGAGCGGGUGUUCUCCAGAGUGUAGGAGGGGGGUCCCGGUCCACCCAGCUUUGCAGCUGCCUCCCAGCUUCUGGCCGGAGCCCCUUGCCUCAGUCC
rnacentral:lncRNA from 1 species